CUUUGACUGAAGAGACACAACCACGUCGAAACUCUGGUGUCUCAAAG
rnacentral:hammerhead_ribozyme from 1 species